rnacentral:misc_RNA from 1 species
AAAGUGCGAAAAGUGUCAUGACUUGCAGAUUCCCGAGAGCUGACAAAUCUCUGAAUGCACAUGGCAGUCGGAGCAAGACCCGACUAUGUAUCGUAGAGUGUAGAUGCACAAGCUCUUCAUCAUGCUUCUUUUAAGCGUGGAUCUGCGCUAGCGGAAACGGAGGCUCGUCCUUCUGCCGCGAGCGUCAAGAGCAAAGGGUCGAUGAGCGGGUGCCUCGGCAUUCCGUCUCGUCAGAUGAGACACCGAUGGACUGUAAUCGAUGUCACAUAAUGACCAUUCUUUAUUAUACCUCAUGAGCCACCUCUGCGAUGCAUGACUACCCGCUGAACUUAA